ACCUAGUUGAUCCUGCCAGUAGUCAUAUGCUUGUCUAAGUAUGAACUAAUUCAGACUGUGAAACUGUGGAUGGCUCAUUAAAUCAGUUAUAGUUUUUUUGAUGGUACCAUACUACUCAGAUAACCGUAGUAAUUCUAGAGCUAAUAUGUGCACCAAGUCCUGACUCUUUGGAAGGGAUGCAUUUUUUAGAUAAAAGGCUGGCGUGGGCUUGCCCGCUUCUCUGGUGAAUCAUGAUAACUCGACGGAUCGCACAGCCCUUGUGCUAGCGAUGCUUCAUUCAAAUUUCUACCCUAUCAAAUUUUGAUGGUAGGAUAGAGGCCUACCAUGGUGGUGACAGGUGACGGAGAAUUAGGGUUCGAUUCCAGAGACGGAGCCUGAGAAACGACUAACACAUCCAAGCAAGGCAGUAGGCGCGCAAAUUACCCAAUCCUGACAUGGGGAGGUAGUGACAAUAAAUAAAAAUACUGGGCUCAUCGAGUCUGGUAAUUAGAAUGAGUACAAUAUAAAUCCCUUAAUGAGGAUCCAUUGGAGGGCAAGUCUGGUGCUAGCAGCCAUGGUAAUUCCAGCUCCAAUAGCAUAUAUUUAAGUUGUUGCAGUUAAAAAGCUCAUAGUUGGAUAUUGGGUUGUAAAGUUAGGUCCGCCUACUUGGUGUGCACCUGCCCUUUCAUCCCUUUUGUCGAUAGCUUGCUCCUGGCUUUAAUUGGCUGGGUCCCGGCUCUAGAACUAUUACUUUGAAAAAAUUAGAGUGCUCAAAGCAUGCUUAUUCUCUAAAUACAUUAGCAUGGAAUAACGUGAUAGGAGUCUGGUCCUAUUGUGUUGGCCUUUAGGACCGGAGUAAUGAUUAAUAGGGACUGUCAGGGGCAUUCGUAUUUCAUUGUCAAAGGUGAAAUUCUUGGAUUUAUGAAAGAUGGAUCACUGCAAAAGCAUUUGCCAAGGAUGUUUUCAUUAAUCAAGAAUGAAAUUUGGGAGCUCGAAGAUGAUAAGAUACCAUCCUAGUCUCAACCAUAAACGAUGCCAACCAGGGAUCAGAAGAUGUUUCUCUAAGGACUCCACCAGCACCUUUUGAGAAAUCAGAGUGUUUGGGUUUCGAGGGGAGUAUGGUCGAAAGACUGAAAAUUAAAGGAACUGAUGGAAGGGCACCACCAGGAGUGGAGUCUGUGGCUUAAUUUGACUCAACACGGGGAAACUUACCAAGUCCAGACAUAGUAAGGAUUGAUAGAUUGAGAGCUUUUUCUUGAUUCUAUGGGUGGUGGUGCAUGGCCAUUCUUAGUUGGUGGAGUGAUUUGUCUAGUUAAUUCUGAUAACGAACGAGACCUCAGCCUGCUAACUAGCUACGCGAAGGUUCCCCUUUGUGGCCAGCUUCUUAGAGGGACUAUGGCCAUUUAGGCCAUGGAAGUUUGAGGCAAUAAUAGGUCUGUGGUGCCCUUAGAUGUUAUGGGCCGCACGCGUGCUACACUGAUGCAGCCAAUGAGUUUUUCUUCCUGGUUAGAGAGGAUCGGGAAAUCUUCUCAAAUUGCAUCGUGAUGGGGAUAGACCAUUGCAAUUAUUGGUCUUCAGUGAGGAAUUCCUAGUAAGCGCAUGUCAUCAACUCAUGUUAACUACAUCCAACAUACUGCCCGUCACUCCUACCGAUUGAAUGAUCCAGUGAAGUGUUUGGAUUGUGUCGACGAUGGUGGUUCGCCGCCUUCGACGUCAUGAGAAGUUCAUUGAACCUUAUCAUUUAGAGGAAGGAGAAUUCGUAACAAGC
rnacentral:rRNA from 1 species